GACGAACGCUGGCGGCGUGCUUAACACAUGCAAGUCGAACGGAAAGGCCCCUUCGGGGUUACUCGACUGGCGAACGGGUGAGUAACACGUGAGUAACCUGCCCUUGCUUUCGUUAUAACUUCAGGAAACUGGGGCUAAUACCGGCUAGAAAUCCUUGCCGCAUGGUUGGGGUUGGAAAGCUUCUGCGGUUUUGGGUGGACUCGCGGGUUAUCAGCUUGGUGGUGGGUGAGGGGCUUACCAAGGCUUUUGCGGGUGGGUGGCCUGGGGGGGCGACCGGCCACAUUGGGACUGAGGUACGGCCCAGGCUGCGAAGGGAGGCAGCAGGGGGGAAGAUUGAACAAGGGGCGGAAGGCGGAUGCAGCAAGGCCGCGGGGGGGAAGACGGCCUUGGGGUUGUAAACCGGUUUCAGCAGGGGCGAAGCUUGUGGUGACGGUACCUGAAGAAGAAGCACCGGCUAACUACGUG
rnacentral:rRNA from 1 species